rnacentral:rRNA from 2 species
UACGUAGGUGGCAAGCGUUGUCCGGAAUUACUGGGUGUAAAGGGAGCGUAGGCGGGGCGGCAAGCAAAAUGUGAAACUGAUCGGCUCAACCGGUCAUUGCGUUUUGAACUGUCGCUCUUGAGUGAAGUAGAGGCAGGCGGAAUUCCUAGUGUAGCGGUGAAAUGCGUAGAUAUUAGGAGGAACACCAGUGGCGAAGGCGGCCUGCUGGGCUUUUACUGACGCUGAGGCUCGAAAGUGUGGGUAGCAAACAGG